UCUUACAUAACCUUGAUUCUGUUCUUUUAAUCUUCUACUGAAAAAUACCUCAUUUCUUCUUUCAUGAUCAACUCUUUUCAAGGACAAGUCCUUAAAUGUCUUUAAGGGCUAAAAAACCUACUUGCUUUAUGAAAACUCUCUGUAACAAUCUUCUGUAUUUCUAUUCCAUCAAAUAGCCCAUAUGUCUUUACUGCUUUGGGAUUGUUCUUAAUAUACCUUGAAAGAAAAGAUGAAGUGUGGGUUACCUUGGGUGUCUUGUGUCUAGGAGAAGGAAGGAAAAAAAAGAAAAAGAAAAAAAAAGAAAAACCGAAUUUGCAAAAUGUGUGUAAUUACCCAAUAUUUAAAUGCAUAUCAAUUGCCUUAGACAAAAAUUACAAUAUUUUUAGCAGCUGAUUUUAUAGAGUUUUUCAUAUCACCUUUAUAUUGUCUUGGUUUACUCUUUUAAGUGGAUAAUCACUUUGUGUCUACUGUUUGGGCAUUUGGGUUUGGAUAAAAUUUUGGAAUUCCAGCGGUUUAUGAGUUUUGUGAUGAGACGACACACUUUUAUCCAUUUUU
rnacentral:lncRNA from 1 species